AUUGAACGCUGGCGGCAGGCCUAACACAUGCAAGUCGAGCGAGCGGCGGACGGGUGAGUAAUGUAUGGGGACUGCCCGAUAGAGGGGGAUAACUACUGGAAACGCUGGCUAAUACCGCAUAUUAUCGGAUAACCCAUAUGGGAUUAGCUAGUAGGUGGGGUAAAGGCCCACCUAGGCGACAAUCUCUAGCGGGUCUGAUAGGAUGAUCAGCCACACUGGAACUGAGACACGGCCCAGACUCCUACGGAGGCAGCAGUGGGGAAUAUUGCACGAUGGGCGCAAGGCUGAUGCAGCCAUGCCGCGUGUAGGAAGAAGGCCUGAGGGUUGUAAAAUACUUUCAGCGUGGAAGCGUUACCCGCAGAAGGAGCACCGGCUAACUCCGUGCCAGCAGCCGCGGUAAUAC
rnacentral:rRNA from 1 species